GACGAACGCUGGCGGCGUGCCUAAUACAUGCAAGUAGAACACACAGUUUAUACCGUAGCUUGCUACACCAUAGACUGUGAGUUGCGAACGGGUGAGUAACGCGUAGGUAACCUGCCUGGUAGCGGGGGAUAACUAUUGGAAACGAUAGCUAAUACCGCAUAAUAUUGAUUAUUGCAUGAUAAUUAAUUGAAAGGUGCAAUUGCAUCACUACCAGAUGGACCUGCGUUGUAUUAGCUAGUAGGUGAGGUAACGGCUCACCUAGGCGACGAUACAUAGCCGACCUGAGAGGGAGAUCGGCCACACUGGGACUGAGACACGGCCCAGACUCCUACGGGAGGCAGCAGUAGGGAAUCUUCGGCAAUGGACGAAAGUCUGACCGAGCAACGCCGCGUGAGUGAAGAAGGUUUUCGGAUCGUAAAGCUCUGUUGUAAGAGAAGAACGGGUGUGAGAGUGGAAAGUUCACACUGUGACGGUAGCUUACCAGAAAGGGACGGCUAACUACGUG
rnacentral:rRNA from 1 species